GUACAAAUAAAAGUUUCAGAAAUUGCCAUGUUUUUUAUCACAUGUUUAGAUCAGAGAAAAUAACCAUUUUACUUUCCAUGAAUCACCAUCCUUGUUGCCAACAAAUUUGCCAUGAAUACAGUCAGCCCGUGUAAAAGUACAACCAGGUGAUUAGCAAGCCCACCCUCUCAUCUGUGCACUCCUUAUUGAUCUGAUGGCCCACAAGUUGAGUUUCCAGAUUUUCACUGAAUCAGCGUUUUCGCAUGAUCCCUAUCCCUCUGCUAGUUUCGAGUCACCCUUUAGAAGAUGCAUCGGCGCGGCCUCUCCAGGAUCUCGCUACACCUCCGUCCCCUGCCAUGCAUCAACUUCCUCUUAGCCCUGCACAGGUAAGCAAUAUAGUACGUGGCAUCUGCUUCAUGUACGGAUUGAACCUAUAUGGCGUCAUAGUCUUAUUGCCACAACAUCCUCAUAGCCCUCCACCUGAUGGUAGAACAAGCACUACCAGAAUCAUGGUAACCCUCAUAUGUGCCUCGACGGAGUGGAGGCCAGGAACAGAGGGUCCAUGACAUGCUGUCCAUGCCGAGGGUGAACUUCACACAAAAAUUGCAUAACCAAAACAUGGCUAGCUAGCGACAAGCACACAAGAAAGAGGUCGAGACAAGGAACUAUACCUUUUUUGAAGGAAGCUUGCUCAAACUCAGCCUUCUCGUUCUUAAAUCUUUCACUCUAUUAUAGGCAAUUCUCAGCUUCUUGUUUGAGCUUCCCAACUGAUUUUGUCUUCUUGACAACCUCUUCCUCAAUAAGAAACCUAACACCUUGGUAAAUUCGGACACUCUGUAUACAAUAUAGGAUUAAUCAAGUUCAACUAUAUCCUAACAAACAAUUUAUCACACAAUCAUGGCUAUAUAUGUACUUCUCUUCAGUAUAUUUUAUAUCUAAUUAUGGAUGCAAGUAUGGGCUGUUGAGCGACGCACCAACCCAUCUAGUUAAGUGAUAUUUGCGUAAAGUGAAUGAACUUCUAGUGAAAUCUCAUUGUUAAAGGAAAUGGGUAGCACAUCAGCCCACUUGCACCUAGACAUACAUUGACAAGUACUCAGAGAAUAUCACAGAACUAUGAACAGCAGAGGUAAGAGCAAAGGGGCGUACACUCAAACAUAUAUCUUUACAGAAAACUGCAGUUUUUCAACAAGAUUUUUUAGUAACGGGGCAUCCAACCGAACCACACCACCCUUUUUUCCUGCAAACAUAAGUAAAAUGAACCUCAAGAGCAAAUCACUAGCGGACUGCAUUUGCACUUCCACUUAUCUUCAGAAAAAACACAAAAUAGAGAACUGCAGCACACGACGGCAUGAACCUCGCUGUGCUUGCAGGAGGCCAUCGGGGGGCUGCUGUCAUCUUCUUGUCCCUGGAACUGCCGCGGCUUCCUUCUCAUUGGCCGUGGGCAACCGCCGCUAGAGUCGCGGACUUCUUCUUCGUGUCUAGCGGCUGGAGAGACAGAGAAUAC
rnacentral:lncRNA from 1 species